ensembl:lncRNA
CUUUAGUGUUCCAUGGCUGAGUCCGAGUGCACUGCAAGCAAUGCCUAUUUUUUUUUUUUUUUCACAGAUUCAUCAUUUGUUGGCAGCCCUUGGUGGGAAGAGGAUGGCUUGGGCUCUGAGAGUCAAAGAAGUGGAGAUGGGGCCUGUGCUUCUCCUUGUCCUGCUCCUGCUUCUCCAGCACCAGGGACCAGUCUUCCUCCUUCACCAGCUGGACACUCACCAGAUGCUGGGUUCAUCAUUUGUUGGCAGCCCUUGGUGGGAAGAGGAUGGCUUGGGCUGUGAGAGGCAAAGAAGUGGAGAUGGGGCCUGUGGUUCUGCUGUUUCUCAUUCUCUUUGUCAUAUCUGCCUGAUUAUCAUAGUCAACAUGUGGGAUAUGCUGUUUUAAAAGUUGCCAUUCAAAAAUUUGAAAUUUAUGAUACUUCCUUCCUCCAGAAUCACUCCAAUUUGCUUGCAUCACACUUGGAAGUGACAAAUCCAGAAUUGCUUGUUUCCAUUUCAGGAUUAAGAUAUUUUGGGCUAUGCAGAAGCCUUGAGGCUGGACUGCAGUGGGUCUGAAAACUGGUUUCCUCCAGGUCACCCUUCCUCUGAGGGUCCAGUCCUUCAGGAUCACUCCCCAAAGGGCAGGGAAUUUAUCAAGGUCCCUGCUUUUGGUAGGGCCUGGACUUCAAUAUCUUCUUGCUUUGCCCCAGGAAGCUGUCAAAACCUGCAUGAGUCACUGGGGGGGAGGGCAUAUCACUCUAUCACAACUAGGAAGCUAUCAAGUUAGGGUAGGGAACCACCAUAGUCCUUAAAUUACUACAAUAGCCACAGUGACAUUGCUGGCCGUGGAAACGCACUGUGCUUAUAAAAGUCUGUACUCUAAGAAUGGAUGCCAUAGGCCCUGCCCUCAGCCUUUCCAGUGACGACAGCCCAGGACCUCUGUUAAUGGUACAGCAAGGAAACCACAUGUCUUCACAACCAGUGUGGCAGCAGGAGCAACAGAUGCCUGGCCUCUGCUCCAGUUCUGCCACAUUUCACUGACAAAAUCUAAAGCACUCCAGGAGUUAGGUUGCAAAGRAGUCUGGGAAAUGUAGCAUUUAGCUUUUGUGAUUUCUGUGGUAUAGAAGGUAAGAAAAAAGAAGAAACAAUGGGUGUCCUGCUCCUGUUCCCCCUGUCCACCGUGCAGUUGAAAUGCAAUUUAGUUACAGUUUGAAAACCUGUAAAAAUAAUGCUAUAUAUUGCAUAUUGAUUUUUGAUAUAUACCUAGGUACAGUAUAUCCAUACACCUUUACCUGUAUAUCUCCAUACUCAGUUACCAUCAAGGCAGCAAGAUCAGUAAUGAUUUGAAGCAUGGGUUUCAGAUUCAGCCUUGUGUCCAAAUCUGUAUUUGUGUGUGAUAUGGGUACCUAUGUUUCCUCAAACUCUCUCCCAGAUAUUUUAUUUCCCUAUCUCUAAAGUAGGUGGAAAGACAGUCUACCUUGAAAUAGUGUUGUUAGGCUCAAUUAAAGUAAUACAUGCAGUCGUCUAAGUAUAGUGCCUAGCUCAUGAUUCCAUGAAGUAAACUGCAGUUCUUUUUGUUAUGAGUAGCAGAAGAUCAAGGUGGUAAAAUGAACUGAUAUCAUCUUGACAAGUCACUUAAUUUUCUUUAGGUCAUAAUGUCUUGGUCUUUCAGAUAAGAAAUUGUCCUCAACAAUCUAUAGCAUGAAUGUCUGAGCCAACAAUCUCCAAAUCCUUUCAUGGAGAAAGUGAGAACUAGAAGAAGUUACUUACUCAGCAUUGUAUGGUCAGCAGGAGGAGUGCCUGAGCACUGAUCUGAUGCCACAAAUGGAGAAUUCCACACCUGGCCUCCCAUGAUGGGUUGCACCACUAUAAAGACUCAUUAAAAAUAUUUAAUAAAAUUAUCCUUAGGGCAUGCA